rnacentral:rRNA from 1 species
UACGUAGGGUGCGAGCGUUGUCCGGAAUUACUGGGCGUAAAGAGCUCGUAGGUGGUUUGUCGCGUCUGCUGUGAAAAUCCGGGGCUCAACCCCGGACUUGCAGUGGGUACGGGCAGACUAGAGUGUGGGAGGGGAGACUGGAAUUCCUGGUGUAGCGGUGGAAUGCGCAGAUAUCAGGAGGAACACCGAUGGCGAAGGCAGGUCUCUGGGCAGUAACUGACGCUGAGGAGCGAAAGCAUGGGUAGCGAACAGGAUUAGAUA